GCUUUACACAUGCAAGUCGGACGGUGACAGAGAAAAUCUUGCUUCUUGGUUGGUUAGUGGCGAACGGGUGACUCAUAUGUCGCAUGGCUGCGAGUGGUGGAGGAUUAUUGAUCACAAGAUUAACUACUACCGCAUAUUCUCUGACGAGGGAAGUUUGCUACCUUCGGGCCUUGGGUUCAUUCACCGCGAUCGAUCUCUGAUUAAUUAGUUGGUGGGGGAAAGGCCUACCCAGGCGACGAUCAAUACCGGGUCUAACAGGAUGAUCCACCGCACUGGCUACUGACACACACCCCACACUCAUACCGAAGGCAGCAAUGGGGAAUUUUGCAUCAUGGGCGCACGCCUGAUCCACCCAUGCCCCGCGCCUGAAUAAAGACUGCUUUCUGAACAGGACUUUUGGCUGGAAAAAAAAAGCUGUUGCUAAAAUCGACAGCUGAUGACGGGACCUGAUCAUUACGCACCGGCUAACUACACGCCAUCCCCCCCGCCACUACAUAAGGUGCGACCCGAUCUCUGACUUACUGUAUUGUAACAGCGAGCGCAGCACGGGUACUUAAGCAAGAUGUGAAAUCCCCGGGCUUAACCUUGGAACUGUGUUGUGACCUGGGAGAUUAGAGCGAGUCGGGGGAGGGAAAUUUCCUCGUGUAGCAGUGAAAUGCGUAGAGAUGUGGAGGAAUCCGGAUGGAGAGCGCAGCCUCGUGGGAUAACUGUGACGGUCAUGCUAAAGAGCGUGGAUCGCACACAGGAUUAGAUACCGUUUAUGUACACGCGUAUAAGAGAAGUCAAUGAUGUGUGGGGCUAUUUGAUUGCUUAGUAGCGUAGUUAACGCGUGAACUUUACCGCCUGGGGAGUACGGUCGCAAGAUUAAAACUCAAAGGAAUGGACGGGGACCCGCCCAAGCGGUGGAUGAUGUGGAUUAAUUGGAUGCAACGCGAAGACCCUUACAUGUUCUUGACACGUUCGGAAUCCUCCAGAGAACGGAGGAGUGCUUUCGGGAACAGUAACACAGGUGUUGCAUGUCUGUGUUCAGUUCGUGUCGUGAGAUGUUGGGUUAAGUCCCGCAACGAGCCCAACCCUUGUCAUUAGUUGCCAUCAUUUAGUUGGCCACUUUAAUGAGACUGCCGGAGAUCAAGCCGGAAGAAGGGGGGGAUGACGUCAAGUCUUCAUGGCCCUUAUGACCAGGGCUUCCCACGUCAUCCAAUGGUCGGUACAGAGGGUACACAAGGCGGGAGGCGGAGUCAUUUUCACAAACCAGUUUGUAGUCCGGAUUUCGCUUUGCAAUUGGAGUCCAGGAAUUGGGAAUCGUUAGUAUUGGCAGGUCACCAUACUGCGGGGAAUACGUUCCCGGCUUUUGUCCCCCCCCCCCGUCCCACCAUGGGAGUGGGGGCUACCAGAAUUAGGUAGGGAACCUGCAAGGAGCCCGCUUCCCACGGUAUGAUUCAUGACUGG
rnacentral:rRNA from 1 species